GACGAACGCUGGCGGCGUGCCUAAUACAUGCAAGUCGAGCGAAGUUUUUCUGGUGCUUGCACUAGAAAAACUUAGCGGCGAACGGGUGAGUAACACGUAAAGAACCUGCCUCAUAGACUGGGACAACUAUUGGAAACGAUAGCUAAUACCGGAUAACAGCAUUAACUGCAUGGUUGAUGUUUAAAAGUUGGUUUUGCUAACACUAUGAGAUGGCUUUGCGGUGCAUUAGCUAGUUGGUGGGGUAAAGGCCUACCAAGGCGACGAUGCAUAGCCGACCUGAGAGGGUGAUCGGCCACACUGGGACUGAGACACGGCCCAGACUCCUACGGGAGGCAGCAGUAGGGAAUCUUCCGCAAUGGGCGAAAGCCUGACGGAGCAACGCCGCGUGAGUGAAGAAGGAUUUCGGUUCGUAAAGCUCUGUUAUUAGGGAAGAAUGAUUGUGUAGUAACUAUACACAGUAGAGACGGUACCUAACCAGAAAGCCACGGCUAACUACGUGCCAGCAGCCGCGGUAAUACGUAGGUGGCAAGCGUUGUCCGGAAUUAUUGGGCGUAAAGCGCGCGCAGGUGGUUUAAUAAGUCUGAUGUGAAAGCCCACGGCUCAACCGUGGAGGGUCAUUGGAAACUGUUAAACUUGAGUGCAGGAGAGAAAAGUGGAAUUCCUAGUGUAGCGGUGAAAUGCGUAGAGAUUAGGAGGAACACCAGUGGCGAAGGCGGCUUUUUGGCCUGUAACUGACACUGAGGCGCGAAAGCGUGGGGAGCAAACAGG
rnacentral:rRNA from 1 species